UUGGUUGUUAUGUGGAUUAUUGUUCCGGGAAUUCAACAGGUUGGACAUCGAGCAGUCGGACUCUACGGCAGCUCAUGUUAAUAUUGAGCAAUUAACUCCUCUUGGUCGACUAUGAGCAUCAACUCCAAGCCGCAAAGCUGCCGUCGUCAUCCAGAGGUUUUUUUAUAUUCGAUUGAGGCCUAUGUUUCCUCAUGGCUGGUGGUUUCAAUCCAAUUCAGCAGUCACCGUUCUGAUCUCCUCCAGCACGCCAGGAAGAAUUCGCCUGAGGGUAUUACUCCGAUGCGGCGCUGCGGGUCACUCGGUAUUUUGCGGGAUCAUUCGACAUCACGAAUGACCUGGGGCAAAAGUAAUAUUGUACCUUAAACUGAAAGGAAAUAUUGCUUUACCCACAUAUCAGCGGCAGAUGUAGAAGUUGUUGGAUUACACAUCAAUCUGGCGGUCUUCCACAGACCACAACACGCUAAGCAUAUAUCAUGUUAUCUAGCAGUCUUUGUAGAACAAUUGUUAUCCUACACUUCCAAUGUGUUGUCUUAUGUUUCCUAUCGUCCCUUUGUCUUCUCCAUAAGGACAUGGCCAUUUAAUUUAAAUUUGUUCACACUGUC